GGCUCAGAUUGAACGCUGGCGGCAGGCCUAACACAUGCAAGUCGAGCGAGAAAGGUCUUCGGACUGAGUACAGCGGCGGACGGGUGAGUAACGCGUAGGAAUCUACCUGGUAGGUGGGGGACAACAGUAGGGGAAACUCAUGCUAAUACCGCAUACGCCCUAGUGGGGGAAAGCGGGGGACCUUCGGGCCUCGCGCUAUCAGAUGAGCCUGCGUAGGAUUAGCUUGUUGGUGAGGUAAAGGCUCACCAAGGCGACGAUCCUUAGCUGGUCUGAGAGGAUGAUCAGCCACACUGGGACUGAGACACGGCCCAGACUCCUACGGGAGGCAGCAGUGGGGAAUAUUGCGCAAUGGGCGAAAGCCUGACGCAGCCAUGCCGCGUGCAGGAAGACGGCCUUCUGGGUUGUAAACUGCUUUUAUCUGGGGAUAAAAAGCCCAUGCGUGGGACAUUGAAGGUACCAGAUGAAUAAGCACCGGCUAACUACGUG
rnacentral:rRNA from 1 species